AUGCCUACGGGGGGCAGCAGUGAGGAAUAUUGGUCAAUGGCCGCAGGGCUGAACCAGCCAAGUCGCGUGAGGGAUGACGGUCCUGUGGAUUGUAAACCUCUUUUGUCAGGGAGCAAAGGGCGCCACGUGUGGCGUUUUGCGAGUACCUGAAGAAAAAGCAUCGGCUAACUCCGUGCCAGCAGCCGCGGUAAUACGGAGGAUGCGAGCGUUAUCCGGAUUUAUUGGGUUUAAAGGGUGCGUAGGCGGAAUGCCACGUCAGCGGUAAAAUCGCG
rnacentral:rRNA from 1 species